CCUACGGGGGGCAGCAGUGGGGAAUAUUGGACAAUGGGCGCAAGCCUGAUCCAGCCAUGCCGCGUGAGUGAUGAAGGCCUUAGGGUUGUAAAGCUCUUUUGCCGGGGACGAUAAUGACGGUACCCGGAGAAUAAGUCCCGGCUAACUUCGUGCCAGCAGCCGCGGUAAUACGAAGGGGACUAGCGUUGUUCGGAAUCACUGGGCGUAAAGCGCACGUAGGCGGAUUUGUAAGUCAGGGGUGAAAUCCCGGGGCUCAACCUCGGAACUGCCUUUGAUACUGCGAGUCUUGAGUCCGAUAGAGGUGGGUGGAAUUCCUAGUGUAGAGGUGAAAUUCGUAGAUAUUAGGAAGAACACCAGUGGCGAAGGCGGCCCACUGGAUCGGUACUGACGCUGAGGUGCGAAAGCGUGGGGAGCAAACAGGAUUAGAUACCCGAGUAGUC
rnacentral:rRNA from 1 species